AUCCUUUUGUAGUUCAUGAGCGUGAUGAUUGGGUGUUCACGCGGCUGUGUGACAUGUGCCACCUACAAACCUUGUUACGACGUGGGCACAUUACCCGUCUGACG